rnacentral:rRNA from 1 species
CCUACGGGGGGCUGCAGUGGGGAAUCUUGGACAAUGGGGGCAACCCUGAUCCAGCCAUGCCGCGUGUGUGAAGAAGGCCCUCGGGUUGUAAAGCACUUUCAGUGAGGAAGAACGCCUGGUGGUUAAUACCCAUCAGGAAAGACAUCACUCACAGAAGAAGCACCGGCUAACUCCGUGCCAGCAGCCGCGGUAAUACGGAGGGUGCGAGCGUUAAUCGGAAUUACUGGGCGUAAAGCGCGCGUAGGUGGCUUGAUAAGCCGGUUGUGAAAGCCCCGGGCUCAACCUGGGAACGGCAUCCGGAACUGUCAAGCUAGAGUGCAGGAGAGGAAGGUAGAAUUCCCGGUGUAGCGGUGAAAUGCGUAGAGAUCGGGAGGAACACCAGUGGCGAAGGCGGCCUUCUGGACUGACACUGACACUGAGGUGCGAAAGCGUGGGUAGCAAACAGGAUUAGAUACCCUUGUAGUC